rnacentral:rRNA from 1 species
ACUAACAAGGAUUCCCCUAGUAACUGCGAGUGAAGCGGGAAAAGCUCAAAUUUAAAAUCUGGCGGUCUUUGGCCGUCCGAGUUGUAAUCUAGAGAAGUAAUGCCCGUGCUGGACCGUGUAUAAGUCUCCUGGGAUGGGGCGUCAUAGAGGGUGAGAAUCCCGUCUUUGACACGGACUACCAGUGCAUUGUGGUAUGCUCUCAAAGAGUCGAGUUGUUUGGGAAUGCAGCUCAAAAUGGGUGGUAAAUUCCAUCUAAAGCUAAAUAUUGGCGAGAGACCGAUAGCGAACAAGUACCGUGAGGGAAAGAUGAAAAGAACUUUGGAAAGAGAGUUAAACAGUACGUGAAAUUGCUGAAAGGGAAACACUUGAAGUCAGUCGCGUUGGCCGGGAAUCAGCCUUGCUUUUCUGCAUGGUGUACUUUCUGGUCGACGGGUCAGCAUCAAUUUUGACCACUGGAAAAGGCUCAAGGGAAUGUGGCAGCUUCGGCUGUGUUAUAGCCCCUGUUCACAUACAGUGGUUGGGAUUGAGGAACUCAGCACGCCGCAAGGCCGGGUUUCGACCACGUUCGUGCUUAGGAUGCUGGCAUAAUGGCUUUAAGCGACCCGUCUUGAAACACGGACCAAGGAGUCUAACAUGCCUGCGAGUAUUUGAGUGGAAAACCCAAGUGCGCAAUGAAAGUGAAAGUUGAGAUCCCUGUCGUGGGGAGCAUCGACGCCCGGACCAGAACUUUUGGGACGGAUCCGCGGUGGAGCAUGUAUGUUGGGACCCGAAAGAUGGUGAACUAUGCCUGAAUAGGGUGAAGCCAGAGGAAACUCUGGUGGAGGCUCGUAGCGAUUCUGACGUGCAAAUCGAUCGUCAAAUUUGGGUAUAGGGGC